rnacentral:lncRNA from 1 species
AACUGUUAAAACCAGCAGACAUUCAGGCAACCAGACCAACACUGGGAAUGCUAAAUGUUGCACGCUCAAAACCAUAUGAGCAAAGCAUUUGUUUGCCCUCAAACCUAGGGAACAGCCUACUAAUAAAGCUACCCCAAGUGAAUUAAAAGAAGCUUUCUUGACCUAAAAGGAGCUAUUCUUUCAAAGCAUGUGGUUUUCCAGUGGAACACAUACAAGAAUGGCUGGUUUUGAAGUGGAAAGACAAAAGAACUUACUGAUAGCACAAGGGAAAAGGCACACACAUAGAGGGUGUGCAAGAAGUGUUUAAAGACACGUUCAGCAACUGGCAUUCAGACAUGAAGAAGAAAUUCUGCAGUAAGCACAGCUACUCCACACCAUUGUGCUCAUAUCCUGUGCAAAACAGCUGGAGACAGAACACAAAGGCAAUUUUUCCUAUUGCUCCGACACUCGGACAGAAGGAGCAACCCUGCGGAGUGUUCAGCAAAGAUGCCGCUCCUUCUACCCUGCCCCAGCAGGAGAUCCAUCUCCAUGCUGCCCGCCGGAGAUCCGUGCGCCCCGCAGCAGCGCUCGGGCUCUCCGCGGGCUCGCAGCUGCAUCCAACAGCAGAGGGAGCUCCGCGAGAGGAAGAGGAGCAGGCGAAGCUCGGCAGGAGCAGCCCCAGGAAGGAGGGAGGCGGGCAGGGGUGAGCAGAGGUAACCGCAGGCUGCUCUGCUGCACCAGAAAGUUUCAGUGACAUUUUGAGAAACUCUGGUGCCACGGUUCACACCAGGAUGAAAGGAAAGCAGUGAAUAUGUCUUUGUGGCACCCACUGGAAGCUGAUGGCCAUUUCUGCCGCAUUUGGGAUGACAGCAAUACCAGCCAGCCACAUCACAGCCCCUACAAAGCCAGAUCGUGGCUAUGACUCUCUAGCCACAGAGAUCAGAGCAAGGAAAUAAAUAUAUUGGUCUUUCCA